rnacentral:rRNA from 1 species
UAUUCCUACGGGGGGCAGCAGUGGGGAAUAUUGCACAAUGGGGGAAACCCUGAUACAGCGACGCCGCGUGAAGGAAGAAGUAUUUCGGUAUGUAAACUUCUAUCAGCAGGGAAGAAAAUGACGGUACCUGACUAAGAAGCCCCGGCUAACUACGUGCCAGCAGCCGCGGUAAUACGUAGGGGGCAAGCGUUAUCCGGAUUUACUGGGUGUGAAGGGAGCGUAGGCGGCGAUGCAAGUCAGAAGUGAAAGCCCGGGGCUCAACUCCGGGACUGCUUUUGAAACUGGGUUGCUAGUUUGCAGGAGAG